rnacentral:rRNA from 1 species
GGGCGUAAGCGUGCGCAGGCGGUUUUGUAAGUCUGAUGUGAAAUCCCCGGGCUCAACCUGGGNAUUGCAUUGGAGACUGCAAGGCUAGAAUCUGGCAGAGGGGGGUAGAAUUCCAUGUGUAGCAGUGAAAUGCGUAGAGAUGUGGAGGAACACCGAUGGCGAAGGCAGCCCCCUGGGUCAAGAUUGACGCUCAUGCACGAAAGCGUGGGGAGCAAACAGGAUUAGAUACCCUGGUAGUCCACGCCCUAAACGAUGUCUACUAGUUGUCGGGUUUUAAUUAACUUGGUAACGCAGCUAACGCGUGAAGUAGACCGCCUGGGGAGUACGGUCGCAAGAUUAAAACUC